rnacentral:lncRNA from 1 species
AGGGUUAUGAGAUGAACUGAGGGUGAUGAGAUGAGCUGAGGGUGAUGAGAUGAGCUGAGGGUGAUGAGAUGAGGGUUAUGAGCUGAGGGUUAUGAGAUGAGGGUUAUGAGAUGAGGGUUAUGAGAUGAGGGUGAUGAGAUGAGGGUUAUGAGAUGAACUGAGGGUGAUGAGAUGAGCUGAGGGUUAUGAGAUGAACUGAGGGUGAUGAGAUGAGCUGAGGGUGAUGAGAUGAACUGAGGGUGAUGAGAUGAGGGUUAUGAGCUGAGGGUUAUGAGCUGAGGGUUAUGAGAUGAGGGUUAUGAGAUGAACUGAGGGUUAUGAGAUGAGGGUUAUGAGAUGAGGGUUAUGGGAUGAGGGUUAUGAGAUGAGGGUUAUGAGCUGAGGGUUAUGAGAUGAGGGUUAUGAGAUGAACUGAGGGUUAUGAGAUGAGGGUUAUGAGCUGAGGGUUAUGGGAUGAGGGUUAUGAGAUGAACUGAAGGUUAUGAGAUGAGAUGCAUCGAACUACACAGAGCUGCAUCGACCUACACAGAGCUGUAUCGACCUACACAGAGCUGUAUCGACCUACACAGAGCUGUAUCGACCUACACAGAGCUGUAUCGACCUACACAGAGCUGCAUCGACCUACACAGAGCUGUAUCGACCUACACAGAGCUGUAUCGACCUACACAGAGCUGUAUCGACCUACACAGAGCUGCAUCGACCUACACAGAGCUGUAUCGACCUACACAGAGCUGUAUCAACCUACACAGAGCUGUAUCGACCUACACAGAGCUGCAUCGACCUACACAGAGCUGUAUCGACCUACACAGAGCUAUAUCGACCUACACAGAGCUAUGUCCACCUACACAGAGCUGUAUCGACCUACACAGAGCUAUAUCGACCUACACAGAGCUAUAUCGACCUACACAGAGCUAUGUCCACCUACACAGAGCUAUGUCCACCUACACAGAGCUGUAUCGACCUACACAGAGCUAUAUCGACCUACACAGAGCUAUAUCGACCUACACAGAGCUGUAUCGACCUACACAGAGCUAUAUCGACCUACACAGAGCUAUGUCCACCUACACAGAGCUAUGUCCACCUACACAGAGCUGUAUCGACCUACACAGAGCUGCAUCGACCUACACAGAGCUGUAUCAACCUACACAGAGCUGUAUCGACCUACACAGAGCUGCAUCGACCUACACAGAGCUGUAUCGACCUACACAGAGCUGUAUCGACCUACACAGAGCUGUAUCGACCUACACAGAGCUGUAUCGACCUACACAGAGCUGCAUCGACCUACACAGAGCUGUAUCGACCUACACAGAGCUAUAUCGACCUACACAGAGCUGUAUCGACCUACACAGAGCUAUAUUGACCUACACAGAGCUAUAUCGACCUACACAGAGCUAUAUCGACCUACACAGAGCUAUGUCCACCUACACAGAGCUAUGUCCACCUACACAGAGCUAUAUCGACCUACACAGAGCUAUGUCCACCUACACAGAGCUGUAUCGACCUACACAGAGCUAUAUCGACCUACACAGAGCUAUAUCGACCUACACAGAGCUAUGUCCACCUACACAGAGCUAUAUCGACCUACACCAAGCUGUGUCCAGCCGUAAUGAGAAGCACUGGGCCAGUUGUGUCGCUCCCCACUCAGUAGCAGAGCGGGAUAAUGAUUAUCAUCCCAUAACAAAUCAAAUCAAAUGAUUAAACUGGCAAGAGAUUUGAGUCUGU